UGGGGAAUAUUGCACAAUGGGCGCAAGCCUGAUGCAGCCAUGCCGCGUGUGUGAAGAAGGCCUUCGGGUUGUAAAGCACUUUCAGCGGGGAGGAAGGCGGUGAGGUUAAUAACCUCAUCGAUUGACGUUACCCGCAGAAGAAGCACCGGCUAACUCCGUGCCAGCAGCCGCGGUAAUACGGAGGGUGCAAGCGUUAAUCGGAAUUACUGGGCGUAAAGCGCACGCAGGCGGUCUGUCAAGUCGGAUGUGAAAUCCCCGGGCUCAACCUGGGAACUGCAUUCGAAACUGGCAGGCUAGUGUCUUGUAGAGGGGGGUAGAAUUCCAGGUGUAGCGGUGAAAUGCGUAGAGAUCUGGAGGAAUACCGGUGGCGAAGGCGGCCCCCUGGACAAAGACUGACGCUCAGGUGCGAAAGCGUGGGGAGCAAACAGG
rnacentral:rRNA from 1 species